UUUUUUCUUUUUCUGCUUUUUUUUUUUUUUUUUUUUGAAUCAGAGCUUCAGCUGCCAGGCUAUGCCACAGUCACAGCAACACAGGAUCCAAUCUGCUUCUGCAACACCCUCCACAGCUCAUGGCAAUGCCGGAUCUUUAACCCACCGAGUGAGGCCAGGGAUUGGAACCUCAUGGAUACUAGUCAGGUUCAUUACCGCUGAGCCAUAAUGUGAACUCUAAGCCAUGGUGGGAACUCCCCUGUGCUUUUUAUGCAUUCCCUCCACAUACUCCCAUGGCUAGUACCCAAGUUCAGGCCUUCUUUUUUCUUUUUUUUAUUGAAGUGAAAUUCAUAUAAACUUAGCCAUUUUCAGGUGUACCAUUCAGUGGCAUCAAGUACAUUCACAAUGUUAUGAGCUAUCAUCUCCGCCUAUUUUAAUAAUAUUUCUGUCACCCUCCAGAUAAACCUCAUACCCAUUAAUUGGUCACUCCCCAUUCCCUCUUUCCCUCAACUCCAGGAAUCUACUAAUCCAUCUUCUGUUUCUACAGAUUUCCUUAUCCUGGAUAUUUCAUGUAAAGGAAUCAUACAAUCUGUGACUUUUUGUGUCUGGCUUCUUUCACUUAGCAUGACGUUUUUAAGGUUGAUCCACACUGUAGCCUGUGUCCGAACUUCAUUCCUGUUUAUGACUGAAUGCUAUGCAUGCACAACAUUGUGUUUAUUCAUUCAUUCAUUUCGAAGGCUCUCAUUUCUUACUCUAAUUUGGACUAUAGCUAGAGUCUCCUACCAGAGCUACUGUACUGCUCAACCAAAAGGAGCAGUAUUCACUUUAUAUUCUGCAUGAAUAACUCCCCCAUCCCCGCCCCUGCAGUUACACAACACCUGCUCCUAAUCAGAAGCUAUGUCAUACUUCAUCUCAAAUGCAUACUGAUUGUGUUGGCCUCUAUAUUCCUAAAACCCAUCUUUGAUCAUAUCAUCUUUUAUUCAAAAUCUUUUGAUGAUCCCCUCUCACAUAUCUUUUAAUUACAGUAAUAGUGGCUGUAAUAUAUUAAAUUCUAGGCAUGGGCCAGGCAUUUUCCUAUACUCUUUACAAGAAUUAUUUCAAAAGUCUCAUAACAAAUAUAUGAAGAAUUUUUCUUCCCAUUCUAUAAGUAAGGAAACUGAAUCACGGCAUGAUUAAGAACACAUCCAAGGUCACAGAGCUGAAAAUAUUGGCAGAACUUCAGUGGCGGAAAGACCCUAAGAUAAUUUCCUAUGAUCCCCACAUAUUGGUAUUCAUAACCCCCUCUCCUUGAUGGCUGAUGGACCUGUGGCUUGCUUUUAACAAAUACAAUAAGGCAAAAGGUGAUGGGAUGUCAUAUCCAUGAUUACCUCGUAUUGUGUAAGUCUCUGCUUAGGAUACUGAACUAGAGAUUUUCCUUGCAGUCUUGAUGAAAUAAUUGGCCAUGCUGGAGAGGUACACAUGACAAAGAACUUCAGACAGCUUCUGAGACCUAAGGGUGGCCUCUUUUCUCAAGUCAGCAAAAACUUGGGACCCAUGGUUAUACUGCCCCAAGAAAAUGAAUUCUGCCGACAACCUGAAUGAACUUAGAAGUAAAUUCUUCCUCAAUCAAGCUUUCGGAUGAGAGCACAGCCUGGAGGACAUUUUGAUUAUAGCUUUGUGAGACCCUGCAGAGGACUCAGGUAAGUCAUGGCCAGAGUCCAGUCCAAACCCACGGAAACUUGAGAUAACAAAUAUGUAUUAUUUUAAGCUACUAGGUUCAUGGUAAUUUAUUACAUAGCAAAAACAAAGAAACAAACAAAAACUAAUAUAGAUCUUGGUAUCUGGAAUUAAGGUGCUGCUGCAAUAAGUACAUAAAAAUGUAGAAGUGGCUUUGGAAUUGUGCAACUGGGCAGUGGGUAGCAGCUGGAAGAAUGGUGAGUAUGAUAGAAAAAGACUCAAGUGCUUUGCACCGACUGUCAGUAGAAAUCUAGACUUGGAGGAUAUUACUGGUUAGGAUUCAGAAGGGCGUGAGGAGCAUGUUUUUAGAAAAUGGAAGAAGUAUAUUUGUUUCGUAACGUCAAAAAGCACAGCAAAAUUGUUUCUUUAAUUUAUGUAUAAGCAGAACUUGUAAGAAACCCAGAUAUACAGCUUGGGAGGUUUCUGGCUUUUGCAGCUUUAUCUUGAACAGGUAAAUUAUUCCACAAGUUUCUCUCCAGCUACCAGCCCAUUGUGUUCCAGACACGUGUAAAACUUUCAGGUUUAUGAGUUGCAAUCUUCACAUUCCUAUAUUCUGCACCUUGGAAUAUUUUUAUAUUGUCCACAGAAUAUUCUUCCUUCUCCACUUAACUCCUCAUCCUUCAAAGCCCAAUAAAAAUGCUCCCUCAAUACCCUAUUGCCUAGCCAGAAUUAUUUUCACCUCUUCUGAGUAUUUUCAUCCUCAAUAACUCUGCUGGAGGUCAGAGUUCAAUGUUUACAUGUUGAUGGUUCCUUCUAGGUCACAACCUUCUUUUGUGCGUGUGGCUUUCUUUUUUUUAAAAAAAAAAUUAAACUGCUUUAUUGAAGCAUAAUUUCCAUUUACAUAUUUAAAGUGCACAAUUUGAUGUGUUUUGACGUAUGUAUGCAUAUGUGAAAUCAACAUCAUAAUGAAGACAAUAAACAUAUCCAUCACUCCUAAAAGUUUCCUUGUAUCUCUUGGUAAUGGCACCCUCUUCCCACUUCCCAUUCUUCCUUGCAUGGAAAAUCAGUGAGUGAUUUUUUUUCGCCGCUAUGGAUUAGUUUGAAUUUUCCAGAAUUUUAUAAAAAUUCAAUAAUACAGUAUGUACUCUUUAUGUCUCUGGUUUUUCCUCCUCAGCAUGAUUAUUUUGAGAUUCAUUCAUUUUGUUGUGUGUACCAAUAGAUUAUUAUUCUUAUCGUUGUGCCGUAUGAUAUUGUCUGAUUUUGCCUCUGAGUGUUUGUGUGUAUAAGUACGGACACAUUUUUGGGUUGUUUCUAACGUUAGACUAUUACAAAUAAGGCUGCUAUGAAUUCUCACAUCCAAGUCUUUGUGUGAACAUAUGUUUUUAUUUCUCCGUGGUAAACUCCUGGGAGUGGAAUGUAUACUUCAUGCGGUACAUGCAUGUUUAAUUUUUAAGAAGUUGUAAGACUGUUUUCCAAACUGCUGUCUUUUCCAUUUCUGCCAUUAGUGCAUGAGAAUUCCGUUUCCUCCGUAUCCUCACCAACCCUUAAUCUCAGCAGUUCUCAUGAAUUGCAGUGGAAUCUCAUUGUGGUUUUAAUUUACACCAGCCCAGUGAUGAAUGAAGCUGAGCAUGUUUUAAUGUGUAUUUUCCCAGUAAAGUGACCACUUAAAUCUUUUGCCUGCUAUUUUAACUGUGCUGUUUGUUUUCUUAUUGUUGAAAUCUUGAAAAUUAUGUAUUCUGGCUACAAGUCCUUUAUCAGAUACAUAUUUUGCAUGUAUUUUCUCAGUCCGUGGCUUGUCUAUUCAUCUUUUUAAGAGUGCCUUUUCCAAAGCAGAAAUUUUAAUUUUUAAAAUUUUAAAAAUUGGCUUUCAGUGUCAAUGGCCACUGUCCAAAAAUCCAUUGUUUUAUAUAUUAUUUUGGUCUUUUGGUUGUUUCAAGAAAGAGGGUGAAUUCAAAAUGUUAUUCCAUCUUGGCCAGAAGGAGAAGUUUUCAAUCAUAAGCGUGUUGAGCACAGAGAAUAGGUCUUUGAUUAUCAGUGUCCUCCUUCACAUGCAGUAAAUUAUCUUGUACAUAGUAAAGGUCCAAAAUAAAUGCUGUUGAGUAGUUGGAAUUCGCUUAAAAAGUAAAAACGAAAAUAAAUCUCCCAUCUCAGCUUGUUUUGCAUCUAUAGCAGCUUUCUCUUGAAAGUAAAGUGCAGUGAAAUGAAAAUUCAGUUUAUUUCAAAACACAGGGGCAGAUUUUUAUAGCUGCAGAGGAUUUUAUUUUUGGUUUGUAAUUAAUGAAUAAAUAUUAUUAUUUUACUGCAUAAGAAUCAGUGCCAAAUUGAACGGCCUCAUAGAACUUUGUAUUGUUAGUGAUAAACACGUAGCUCUUAAAUAAAUCUGAAUAUUCUUUAUUUUAUCAGCAGUUUGUUCUAGUUUAUUAACUCUUCGGCAUGAGAAAUACAAUAAGAAUUUUAAAGUUUUUUCCUCUUUAAAAUGUAUAAAUACUCAACCAUACUGAUCUCUUUGUGGGAUGGAAUUGGUUUGUUGUGAUGUUUAAGAUCCUGGAGAGCACAUUCUAAACCAAUCUUUUAUUUUUAUUAUUGGAACGAAGGACAGAGAUUUCAACUCUGAUUUUUCUUUCAGUAAUAUUUUUGGAAGUGAUGUAAUGAAGUAUAGGUAAUCCUUAAACAACCUUGCUUUUCAGGUAAGUUUGAUCAGUAAAUGGCACAGAUCUCAAGUACAUGUUCCUAGCACAUAGAAGACACACAGAAAUGGCAGUGGUACUUAUUACUGUUGUCACUAUUGUUAUUACACUGACUUGAGUCAUUCGAUUAAGCUUUCUACACACAUUUUACAUUCAUUUUGUGCGGUGACUGGGCUGGCACCAAUGUUUUAAGCCCUAAUAGUGUUGAUCUCAAACAAGUUGUUUCUGAAAAAAAAUUUGUCCUUAUCUUCUGAUUACUUUCAAUUCUUCCUUCAGGUUUCAGACUAAGUGUGGCUUCUGGAGGAUAUUUUCCCUUACUUGUGUAAGCCUUGUGUAGAUUCCUUUAUUUAAGCAAACAAUCAUGUUAUUUAACUGAAUUUGUAGUAAUAGAUUUAUUAAUAUGACCAUCAGCUUAAUAGCUGUCUUGUCUACUAAACUGCAAGCUUCAAGAAAGCAUGUAAGUCUAUUUUUUACAAACCAUAGUGCUUAGUACAUGGUAGUAAAUCACUAAAUAUUUGUUGAUGUGAAAGAAAUGAAAGUAAACAUUUAAAAAAUGAUUUUAUGAUAAAAUUACACACACACACCCAAAUCUCCUCACAGAAAGCAGGCUUAUCUUUGUCAGUUAUUUCUGCAAGAUGGCUCCCUGGGAAGGUUAGCUUGACCAGGAUGGGGUGCAUUGUUUAGAUUUGGGCUUCUUUGCAAAAUCCUCCUUAUCUGAGCUCUUGGAUAAUUUUCCUUCAUUUCCUAUGCCCUUCACUAACACUGCAUUUUCCCCUUGGCUCUCUGCAGCUUUCUGAGUUUGGACAUUUGUUUGGAUCAAUGGACUGCUGAAUGUCCAGAAAAAUUAAUUCUUUCAAAAUAUGUUACAAAGUAAUCAAAACAGAAAGUCACAUUGGUAUAAAAACAGACAGACCAAUGGGACAGGAUAGAUAACCCAGAAAUAGACCAAGACAUUUAUAGUUAGCUGAUCCUUGACAAGAAUGCCAAGAACAAAACUGGGAGACGAUAGUCUCUUCAAUAAAUGGUGCUGGGAAAACUGAAUUGCCACAUGCAGAGGGAUAACAUUUAUCUCAUAUUACCUGCAAAAAUAAGUUCAGAGUGGAUUAAAAACAUAAAUGUAAAACUUGAAACUGUAAAACUACCAGAGAAAAAUAUAGGGGAAAAGCUUCCUGACAUUGAUCUGAGCAGUGAUUAAAAAAAAAGUGAUCCCCAAAGCACAGCCAACAAAAUUAAACAGACAAGAAAGAUUGUAUCAAACACAAAAGCUUUUGCGUAGCAAAAGAAAUAUUCAACAGAGUGAAGACACAACCUGGAGAAUGAGAAAAAACAUUUGAAAACCACACAUCUGCUAAAGAGAGCUGAAAUAUGUAAUGAACUCAAAUAAUUGAACAUCAAAGAAUUAAAAAUCUGAUUUAAAAUGGGCAAAUUAGGCACUUCUCAAGAGAAGACAUAAAAAUGGUCAACAGGUAUACGAAAAGGUACUCAAAGUCACUAGUCCUCAGCAAAAUGCAAAUUAAAACCUGUAAUGCAAUAAAAUGUAUGCACCCCAAAGUUCACUGCGGCAUUAUUAUAAGAGCCAAGAUGUGGAUAAGUGCCUGUUGAUAGAUGAAUGGAUAAAGAAGAUAUGGUGUGUGUGUGUGUGUGUGUGUGUGUGUGUAUGUAUAUAUGUAUAAUAUAUAAUGGAAUAUUGCUCAGCUAUAAAAUGAAACCCUGCCAGUUUCAUGGAUGGACCUACAAGGUAUUUUGCACUAAGUGCAAUUAAGUCAGACAAAAAUACCAUAUGAUUUCAGGUCUAUGAGAAAUCAAAACAAAACAAAACAAGUGUACAAACAUAAAACAGAAACAGAGACAUAAGUUCAGAGAACAAACUGGAGGCUGCCAGAGGGAUGGGUGAGGGGAGGAGAGAAGCCGGUGAUGAAGAUUAAGAGGCAGACACUUCCAGUUACAAAAUAAGUGAGUCACAGGUAUGAACUGCACAGUGUGGUAGUCGGUAAUUACGUAGUAACUUUGUAUGGUGACAGAAAACUAGACUUACAUGGUGAUCAUUUUGAAAUAUGUAGAUACAGCAAAUCACUCUACUGUAUACCAGGAACCAACACAGUGUUGAAAAUCUUUUUACCUCAAAAA
rnacentral:lncRNA from 1 species